rnacentral:rRNA from 1 species
GUCUAUUUGGAGAUAUAAAAAAGUUUAACCUGCCCCACUGAUAACUUAAAAAUUGAAUGGCCGCGGUAUCUUGACCGUGCAAAGGUAGCAUAAUCGUUAGUUUUUUAAUUGGAAUCUUGUAUGAAUGGUUGGACAAAAGAAAGUCUGUCUUUGUGUCAUUAAUUGAAUUUAACUUUUAAGUGAAAAGGCUUAAAUGGAUUAAAGGGACGAUAAGACCCUAUAAAGCUUAAUAUUAAAAUUUUAUUUAGUUGAAUUUUUUUGUUAUAAAAACUUAGUGAUUGAGUUUAUUUUAUUGGGGCGAUAAGAGUAAAAUGAUUAUUAACUGCUUAAUUUUUGAUACAUUUAUAGAUGAUUAAAUUUUUAGAUGAUCCUAGUUAGAGAUUAAAAGUUUAAGUUACUUUAGGGAUAACAGCGUUAUUUUUCUUAAGAGUACUUAUCGAAAGAAAAAGUUUGCGACCUCGAUGUUGAAUUAAAAUAUCUUUAUAAUUGCAGCAGUUAUAAAAGUAGGUCUGUUCGACCUUUAAAAUUUUACAUGAUUUGAGUUCAAACCGGCGUAAG